ACUCCCUAAGCAUCUGUGGUGGGGUGGGCUCACCAGCCCGGAGGACAGGAAGCAGGGAGGGGGCUGAGCAGGGCAGUGGGAGGGACCAGGGCCACUCGGCUGCUCUCUGGGGUCGCCCUGUUCUCUGCCGUUGGGUCUCCCCCGCCCACGAAUUUCACCCAAGUGUGCCAGGACCUGCACCUCGCCACACGCUGCAGGGGCCACGACAACUGUGUAAAGUCUUGAACUGAAACCUGCCGGCUGCCAAGGAGACCAUUCCAAAUGCGGCUCCCCCCACCCUGGGGCUGGAACAGCCCUGCUCCCCAGGGGAGCCCCCAAACUUCUCCCUUUGGACCCAGGAGCCUGGUGAAGGUAAAGGUGAGCAGAGCCGAGGGGAAGCUGCGUUUUUCAUUUUUGAGUAAAGCCACUUCCGUGGGAGGGCUCUUGGCUCUGAGUUAGCAAGGAUUGCCAAAUGCGUUUAGGUCUUGUCUCCCAGGACUUCAGGGUAGGGACCGCUGAAAUCAGGGUUGUCUGUUUCCUGGGAUGGUUCGAUUUCAGGCUCCUGGGCUGGGGAGUGUCUGUUACCUGGGUCCGGCGUUGGAGCAGCUCGGUGGGCUGGGCCAGGCCGCGCACCUGCCCCACCGCACCUGCCCCACCGUGGCCCAACAUGCCGACGACAAAUUCAAGCCUCUCAAGUACGAAAUGAGAUGUGUGCACACACAGUGACCUUUAAUUGUGUCUUAGAAACUCAUGUCAGAUCAACAUGUGGUUUCACUUACUCAGGAGAGGUGAUUACAUUUCAAGCUGUUUUGUGUUAGUUUUCGGCAUUUAAAUAAAGCAUUUUCUCUGUCAUAUAUUUGAUGUGGCUCAGAGAAGCUUGCUUCUUUUUUAUUUUUUUCUUUCUUCCCCCCAUAGAUUUUGUUGUUUGAUUAGUUCUUUUUGUCAAGUGAGAUCAAAGAUGGCUUUCCUUUCUUUAGGAGAGAGCUUUCUUAAAUCAACAGAAUGAAUUCCAUGGUAAAGAGGGAUUUUAUUUAAAAGAUUUUGAAAAGGGAAAAGAUUUCAGUGGGAGUAAAGAAACGAUGGUUUUAUGUCUGCAUUAUAUUUAUCUGUCAGAGAGUUCGAUGAAAGCAGAUACUAGGAGGGCCUGCCUGGCUUCAUCCUUAGAGCAUGUGACUCUUGACAUAUGACUCUUGAACUCGAAGUCGUGAGUUCGAGCCCCACCUUGGCUCUAGAGAUUACUUAAGAAAUUAAAAAAAAAAAAGAAAAAGAAAAAGGAAGUAAAUUCUGUGGGAUGCUGAACUUUGGAUUCAGUAUAGAAAGGCUUUUGCAGUCUUAGCUGGGAUAUUCUGGGAAAUAUCCACUUUACAUUUUGUGAUCUGGGAAUAUCGGGGAGCUGCCUAUCUCCACUCCUGGCUUUGCCAUCAAGUCCCUGCUGGCCUGCGGGUCUUUGCUCAUGCCGUUGUAGCCACCAGGAAUGUUCUUUCCAUGCCUCUGCGAGACACUCCUUCCUAUAUUUCGAGAGGAAACCGGACAGUUUCCAGAAAACACGUGUGUUGUAUUUACUUCUACCAAGGACCAACCAUGUUAUAUUGAAGUGAUGUGUUUACUUGUGGACCUGCCACUUCUUUGGGAGAGGGACACAGCAGCGAGAGAUGAAACACAAGCCCGGGGAGCGGGCGGCGGAGAAGCCGGCUUCCUGCUGAGCAGGGAGCCCGAUGCCCAACUGGAUCCCAGGAUCCUGGGAUCAUGACCGGAGCUGAAGGCAGAUGCUUAACGACGGAGCCACCCAGGGGCCCUGCUCUCAUUUCCUGUAUUAAUCCAUCUUUUUAGUUUAAAAUGCCUGCUCCUGGAGGGCAGGAGUUUUGUCUCAUUUUCUUCCCCGCUCUAUCCCUCUAUUCCCAGCAUUGGUGACGACACCACAAACAGUGCAGUGGCGCCAAAAUUAGUUGUUGAAUGAAGGAAGCAAUCUAGACACCAUUUCACCCACUUCCAGGCAUGAUGAUGGGGGAAAUGGAGAUAGUCAUCCAACUAAUUCAAACCAGAGAUUACUGAGUAAGUCCUGGGGAUGGGGGGGACUAGAGUUAAUAACACCGUAUUGCAUAUUUGAAAGUUGCUGAGAGUAGAUCUUCAAGAAGUUUGCGACACCAGAAAGAAAAAUUUAUAACCAUGUGUGGGGACAGAUGUUAACUAGACUUACUAUGAUCAUUUCAUAAUAUAAACAAAACCCGAAUUAUUAUAUUGUAUAUCUGAAAUGAAUAUCGUGUAAUAGGUCAAUUAUGUCUCAAUUCUUUUUUAAAAAGUUUACUUUUGGGGCACCUGGGUGGCUCAGUGGGUUAAAGCCUCUGCCUUCAGCUCAGGUCACGGUCCCAGGGUCCUGGGAUUGAGCCCCGCAUCAGGCUCUCUGCUAGGUGGAGAGCCUGGUUCCCCCUCUCUCUCUGCCUGCUUGUGAUCUCUGUCUGUCAAAUAAAUAAAUAAAAUCUUAAAAAAAAAAAGUUUACUUUCUUUUGAGUUAGCUUUCAAAGGGCUUCUGUUAGGUGGGUGGUUGAUAUAAGUUGUCAGUUACCCUGAAUGUGAGUUUGGCUUCAGGCCCCCAAGUAGCAUAUCACGUGGUUGAUGCCUCUUCAAGGCUCCAAACAAUAUAUUCUUUGUUUAUUCAUAAAACCAGGGGUGCCUGGCUGGCUCAGUCAGUCGAAUGUGAGAUUCUUCUAUCUCGGGAUUGUGGGUUCAAGCCCCUCGCUGAGUGGAGAGAUUACUUAAAAAUAAAAAAUCUUAAAAAAAACAAAAACCAAAAACCCCCCCAGAUAAUUGCCUGGGGGAUAAAAAAAAACACCAAAACUAUCAGGAAAAAGAAUUGUUUGGUAUCCUAAAGUAUCGCCAAGACAACAUUUUAAGAUUCUGCUUUUGCUCUGAUUUUGUCCCUUCGUCUUCAAAGUGUCGAUGCUUCAUAGAACUUUCUAGACUUGACCUUAGCCAAGAAAGGUCAAAAAGUCAGAGCCUCCAGUGUGUAGAACCCAUGCUCCAUAAUGCCAAGAACCAGGCAGGGUGUGUUCUCUGCUGCAUCCCACACUCCCUGGCCAAGGGCCUGGCACACAGUAGGCUAUCAAGAACUGUGUUGAUGGGGGGCCUGGUUGGCUCUGUCGCUGGAGCCCGAGACCCUUGAUCUUGGGGGGUCAUGAGUUUGAACCCUGCAUUGGACGUAGAGAUUACUUAAAAAUAAAAUCUUAAAUGGGUGCCUGGGUGGCUCAGUUGGUUAAGCGUCUGCCUUUGGCUCAGGUCACAAUCUUAAUCUCAGGGUCCUGGGAUCAAGCCCCACAUGGGGCUCUCUGCUUAGUGGGAGGCGUCUUCUUCUCCCUCUCCCUUUGUGCUCUUUCUCUCAAAUAAAUAAAUAAAAUCUUAAAAACAAAACAAAACAAAACAAAAAACCCCUUGGGGCGCCUGGGUGCUCAGUGGUUAAAGCCUCUGCCUUCAGCUCAGGUCAUGAUCCCAGGGUCCUGGGAUUGAGCCCGCAGGGAGCCUGCUUCCCCCCACUCCCCGCCUGCCUCUCUGUCAAAUAAAUAAAUAAAAUCUGAAAAAAAAAAACAAAACAAAAACAAAAAACAAACAAAAAAAACAAAACCCAGCCUUAAAACAACAACAACAACUGUGUUGAUGAAUGAAUGAGUAAGUGAAUGGAAUAGCCCAUCUCCGCAACUGUCGUGUAGUUUCAACUUUAGGCAUCAUUUGAGAUCAUGAACAGCUGUGGAAGAAAUUUCCCCUGCCUUUACAGAGUAGUGGUUGAAUGGCUAACCAUUUAAUUUGAACAUCUAGGUGGCCACUUGUCUGCCCAAUUAAAAGUUUCCAACCACAGUUUUGCUUGUGUACAUAUUACCCCUGCAAUUAACCAUGUGUGUAAAAUACACUGGGUUUUCUGUAAUAGAAGAAACAACAAGGAAACAUAUACCUAUGGGAGAGAGGUGAGCAUUAAAAAAAAAAAAAAAUCAUCCGAGGAGUGAAAAACAACCGGAAAAAAACGUUGUUUUUUUUUUUUUUAAACUGAAAAAAUUAAUGCAGAAACUAGUGCAAUUAGAUAAUGUUUUGUAUUUUGUUUUGUUUUGUUUUUUUCCUUAGAGCACAAAGCCUCUGAGAGAGGAUCUAGGCCUUGGCAAAAAACACAAUAAUAAUAAAAUAAA